CAGUAGCCGCGGUAAUACGUAGGUGGCAAGCGUUGUCCGGAAUUAUUGGGCGUAAAGGGAGCGCAGGCGGUUUAGUAAGUCUGAAGUUAAAGGCAUUGGCUCAACCAAUGUAUGCUUUGGAAACUGUUAGACUUGAGUGCAGAAGGGGAGAGUGGAAUUCCAUGUGUAGCGGUGAAAUGCGUAGAUAUAUGGAGGAACACCGGUGGCGAAAGCGGCUCUCUGGUCUGUCACUGACGCUGAGGCUCGAAAGCGUGGGUAGCGAACAGGAUUAGAUACCCCCGUAGUCCCUGUCUCUUAUACA
rnacentral:rRNA from 1 species